rnacentral:rRNA from 1 species
AAGCUGUAGGGGGACGCAGGAAGGUAGAUGAACCCGGUGAAUGGUAGAACCGGGGUAAGCGUGUAGGAGGAGGACCAGGUAAAUCCGGGCCUCAUAAACUCUGAGACGUGAUACCGAGCCGCUUCAGGCGAAGUCAUUGAUCCUAUGCUGCCUAGAAAAGCCCAGCAGCGAGUUGACAUGGUGCCCGUACCCCAAACCAACACAGGUGGACAGGUAGAGCAUACCAAGGCGAGUGGGAUAACUAUGGUUAAGGAACUCGGCAAAUUGCCUCCGUAACUUCGGGAGAAGGAGGACCCCAGUAGCGUGAUGAGACUUGCUCUCUGAGCGUGAAGGGGUGGCACAAAAUUGAGGGAAGCGACUGUUUACCAAAAACACAGCAGCGUGCUAAGCCGUAAGGCGCUGUAUACGCUGUGACUCCUGCCCGGUGCUGGAAGGUUACGGGGAUGGGUUAGUCCUUCGGGACGAAGCUCUGAACCUAAGCCCCAGUAAACGGCGGCCGUAACUAUAACGGUCCUAAGGUAGCGAAAUUCCUUGUCGGGUAAGUUCUGACCUGCACGAAUGGAGUAACGACUUCCCUACUGUCUCAACCAUAGACCCAGCGAAAUUGAAGUACGAGUAAAGAUGCUCGUUAGCUGCAGAAGGACGGAAAGACCCCGUGGACCUUUACUAUAACUUGAUGUUGUGUUUUGUCAUAUGUUGUGUAGGAUAGGUGGGAGACUUGGAAGCAUGGACGCUAGUCUGUGUGGAGUCAUCGUUGAAAUACCACCCUGCAUAUGGUGAGGCUCUAACCUAGACCCGUUAUCCGGGUUGGGGACAGCGUCAGGCGGGUAGUUUAACUGGGGCGGUUGCCUCCUAAAGAGUAACGGAGGCGCCCAAAGGUUCCCUCAGCCUGGUUGGCAAUCAGGCGUUGAGUGCAAUGGCAAAAGGGAGCUUGACUGCGAGACCUACAAGUCGAGCAGGAGCGAAAGCUGGGCAUAGUGAUCCGGCGGUUGCGUGUGGAAGCGCCGUCGCUCAACGGAUAAAAGGUACCCCGGGGAUAACAGGCUAAUCUUGCCCAAGCGUCCAUAGCGACGGCAAGGUUUGGCACCUCGAUGUCGGCUCAUCGCAUCCUGGGGCUGAAGCAGGUCCCAAGGGUUGGGCUGUUCGCCCAUUAAAGCGGUACGCGAGCUGGGUUCAGAACGUCGUGAGACAGUUCGGUCCCUAUCCUCUGCAGCCGGAGGUGAAUUGAGGAAAGCUGUCCCUAGUACGAGAGGACCGGGACGGACGCAGCUCUCGUGUGCCAGUUGUCCUGCCAAGGGCAUGGCUGGUUAGCGACCUGCGGAAAGGAUAACCGCUGAAAGCAUCUAAGCGGGAAGCCUCUUCCAAGAUGAAUUCACCCACAGGGUUAACCUGGUAAGGCCCGUGGUAGACCACCACGUUGAUAGGCCGGAAGUGUAAGCGUGGCAACACGUUCAGCUGACCGGUACUAAUCGGCCGAGGGCUUGAGC